UGGGUUCAGAUGGAGGAGUAUAUGUGGUUCUGAGAGAACCCAGAAGUUCAGAUGGAGACAGAGUGUGGUUGAGUCCCACAAGAAGGAUGAAGACAGAAAACAUGCAGAGCAGAAGGCCCAUGUGAUGUGAUUUACUUGGAGGGGCUCCUCUUGAUACGCAACACCUGGCCACCACUCUUCCCUGACCGAGAAGGCUCUGAGAAGGCAUCUGUAGAAGCACACAUUCGCCGUUCCUGAUUCCCAGUGUAAACACUUGGAAACAAUGAAAAAAACCACAGCGCAG
rnacentral:lncRNA from 1 species